UACGUAGGGUGCAAGCGUUGUCCGGAAUUAUUGGGCGUAAAGCGCACGUAGGCGGCUUUUUAAGUCAGGGGUGAAAUCCUGGAGCUCAACUCCAGAACUGCCUUUGAUACUGGCAACCUUGAGUCCGGGAGAGGUGAGUGGAACUGCGAGUGUAGAGGUGAAAUUCGUAGAUAUUCGCAAGAACACCAGUGGCGAAGGCGGCUCACUGGCCCGGUACUGACGCUGAGGUGCGAAAGCGUGGGGAGCAAACAGG
rnacentral:rRNA from 1 species